rnacentral:lncRNA from 1 species
UAACACUGAUAGCUCUCUAGAAUUCCAUAGCUCCUACAAUUUCGUAACAAGGAUAGAUUGCAAAAUGCCCAUUCUCUGAGUUCACGGAUAGCUAGCUCUCUAGAACUCCAUAGCUCCUACAAAAACAGCGAGUUCUGGCUAUUCCAAGUCGAUCCAGUCUUCAACGAUAUCCAAUCCUGAAUCCGACAUUCCUCAGUUCUGCUCAGAUGAUCGGAACUCAGUUCUUCAUUGUUCGAUCGCCGCAAAAGCUAAGUUCCCUCUACCUUCCUUCCGUUCCUGAUUUCAGUACAGUCAGUAACACCGGUUUCUCGGUCUCUUCCUGAAUUUUCAGAGGCUCCUUCGUCGAUUUCAUUCACCAUUACCCUCUGGAUGCUGUUUGCCACUGCCGAUCGUCGCCGUUGACUGUCGCACUCACAUCUCCGAAUGCUUUAAGGUGGGCCAUGACAGGAUCGGAAAACAGAGAAUCGUUUUUUUCUUUUUUUUGAAGCCGCGGGGAGUAUGGAGCAAACGAUCUCACUGGUUUAUUUCAUUUUGCAAACUUUAUUCAUCGAAUUCAGGCGACUAGUAGCUAUUGCCACCAUUGCCGUUCGCUGGCUUGAACUUUACGCAGUGGCCUCUCUGUUUUGCUUUAUUUCCCGUCCGGGAAGACCGAAGUUCUCGGAUCUC